UACGUAGGGUGCGAGCGUUAAUCGGAAUUACUGGGCGUAAAGUGUGCGCAGGCGGCCGAGCAAGUCGAGUGUGAAAGCCCCGAGCUUAACUUGGGAACUGCGCUCGAAAACUACUUGGCUGGAGUGUGGCAGAGGAAGGUGGAAUUCCACGUGUAGCGGUGAAAUGCGUAGAGAUGUGGAGGAACACCGAUGGCGAAGGCAGCCUUCUGGGCCAACACUGACGCUCAUGCACGAAAGCGUGGGGAGCAAACAGG
rnacentral:rRNA from 1 species